rnacentral:rRNA from 1 species
UCAGGCCUAACACAUGCAAGUCGUACGAGAGUUUUUAACUCUAGUGGCGGACGGGUGAGUAACACGUGAGAAUUUGCCUUUAGGAGGGGGACAACAAUUGGAAACGAAUGCUAAUACCCCAUAUGCUUUCGAGUGAAAUGGAUUUUAUCCGCCUAGAGAGAAGCUCGCGGCUGAUUAGCUUGUUGGUAAGGUAAGAGCUUACCAAGGCGACGAUCAGUAUCUGGUUUGAGAGGACGAUCAGACACACUGGAACUGAGACACGGUCCAGACUCCUACGGGAGGCAGCAGUGGGGAAUUUUCUGCAAAGGGCGAAAGCCU